rnacentral:lncRNA from 1 species
UGGAGCAGGCAAGUUGGACCUGCAGAUGGGUCAGUUUACCCAGAGUCUGACCAGACACUGCAUUGGGCACUUAGAUCACAUAAUAUACUUUUACUUUGGGUUAUUUUAAUUUAUUUUUAUAGAUUUCUACAUCACAUAUGCCAUUUUUAUUUAAUAUAAACAUAUGCUAAUUUAUAAUGUAAAUAUUAUGUGUUAGAUAUUUAUAAACACAACAUAUUUGACAUUUAAGUUGUUCAUCUAGCUUUCUUAUUCCUAAGUCUAAUUCCUACUUGUCUCAUCCUGUAGAUAUCCUAAGAGCACAAUUAUAAGAUCAAGGCUUGUGACAAGCGCAGCUGGAGAAGAAAUCCCAGUUCUCUCUUUUUAUUUAAAAUUACUCAUGGUUAGGGUAAUCAGGUUGUAAAUGAUCCAGGUUCAGUUUCUCUUCUGCCACAAGAGAGUUCAAACGUAUCUCCCUUUUCCCAGGUUAAUAUUCCAAGCAAAUUACUUUUGUGGGCCUUAUUCCAUUCCUUUACAUGAGAGAAUAUUUAAAGGCCUUUGCCCAUUUAAUCCUCAUCUUCCUUGAGAACUCUCCAAAAGCUUCAUGAUGAGCAGGAGUCAUGGUGUGCUUUGUGAUCUGCUUAAAUCCCUCCUUUUACUCUACCUCCAUGACUACAAAGCCUACUGAUUCAAAGAAAUUGUAGUGAGUGCUCUGUCUCUUGGUCCAAAGAACAUCGGGAUGCAUAUGAUGCUGUAUGCUAUGAUGCUCCUUCCUUUCUGAGCCUACAAAGGUGGUGUGGAAAAGCAGUUUGUAGGCUGCAUUAUUCAUUCAGUAUAGUGGCUCUUUUAGAACAGCUAUAACCAUGGGUUAUAUCCCAGAAGUAGCUGUGGUCCAUGAGAUCUGAUUUUGGCCUGGGUGAGACCUCAAGGUUAACAAGAACUUCAGUGGGAAUUUGGUUGAGUUUUUCCCUUCUUGGACUCCCCUACUGCAGGUUUCACAGCCAUAGGUCACAACAGAGUUGGGUGUGUUUUUAGUACCGGAAGAACAAGUAUCACAGGUUUUAUCAGGGGAAAUGCCAAGAUUACACAAGACACCAGAGAAUUACUAUCCCACUGAUUAAUAAAUCAUCAGAAGUUAAAGAAGAACAGCCUAUGUUAUUUCACUCACAACUUCUUCUGAUGAGAUAACACAAAUGAAAGAAUAUAGGGUCAUCACAAACUGCUGCAAAGAUAAGCAUCAGUCACUGAAAAACAUUAUCCAUUUUUUGUUAUCAGGAACUCUUCAGAAUAACUUUUAUUACUAUUGUGGUUGUUGUCAACUUUUGCUGCUUUAUGUCUGGACCACAGGGAAUGCUGCCUUCUUACAGGGAUUCACAACUCUUACAGUUGAGUUGUUCAUUUCAAAAACAAACUUUUAAAAGGCCUUUAUAUCCUACCUGUCAUUGGCUAGUGCACUCUCCCAGUAUAUUCUCUCCUUUGCUUGGAGGCACUGAAACCCACUUUUCUCACAGUAAUGUCUUAUACGCCAAGCUGCAGGGAGGCUGUUCCACUUUGGAACAGAUAUAUAUUACCUGCAGUGGAGAGUGUGAGCACACAGUUAAGGAUUACUCUCCUGCACAGUGUUUAGGGCACAAACAUCUACUUUACUGCAAACAUUAUUUGCAACAGAAACUGGAACCCAAAUUUCUCUUCUUGCAGAUGAGUUCUGCUGUAUAGAAAUAUAUGAAAUAUACAAAGUGUCUUGUAAAUGACUGCUCUCUUUUUCUCUCCUGAGAGAGUCAGCUCUAGCAACUUCAUGAUAAAUUCAUUUUUUAGGAAAAUACCCUGCUAAUAAGUAGCCCUUAGUGUGGUAGCUUCGUUAUUUUUCUAGGAACUGAAUGGUAUGGGAGAGAACAUCAUGAGGUAAAGACAAAAAUCUAUUUAAAGUCUCUUGUGUUCCAGAUGACAAUAUGGUGAUAGAGAUGACAUUAUCGUGGUCACUGUUGUAACCAUUUGCCUUCCUUCCCCCAGCAGAUAUAUCAAGUGUGCCUGAGAAGUUCUUGCAGAUAGAACAGAUGAUACAAGAAAUGUGCUUGAACUCUGAUAUCUGACUCGACAAAGGAAUGACUGAAUUUAAAAAGAGAUUUAUCAGGUAAAGACUACCAGUAAAUCUAAACAGAAAAUGCUGAAAAGAUUAUGCAGCCAUUGCUCCAUAUUAAGGCAAAAUUCAGCCCAGCUCACCACUUUGCCUAGGCAACAGGGCAGAGCCUUUAGAGAAGGAAGUGUGCCAAAGGAGAUGUGGCAAUGCCUUGCAAACAUAAAACAGGCUGCUCUGGGAGGAAGAGGAGGCACGUGGCAUCGGCUAGCACAGACUGAGUGGUAAUGGCCUUAGGAGCAGCUGAAUUUAUGACUGUUUUCAGCAGUUACUCUAUGUAAGGUUUCUGUGGUGUCUCUGGUGAAUUUUAAACCAGCACAAAAGAAAGUGUGGGAAGAUUGCUGCCUGCGUGGCCCACGCCUGCCGUGUUUGGAGCAGGCCUAUGCCAAUUAGCCUGUUCAGCCCUCAGGGUGUAAUAAUGUAAUUGUUGUUACCAUUAGUACCAAUUAUAGGAAUUAGAAAGAAACAAACCUUUAUACAGGAGAAAGUAGAAUAUGUUUGCGGAUAAACCAAAGGGGAGUGCUUUCUUUUACUAGCUCUAUGACCCCCAAAUCAAUUAAGCUGGUUACGUGUUCAGCAGUCAGCAUGGUCAGUAAUUAGUAGUUUCUCCACAGUUUCAAGCUUAAAUACCACUCCUGGUGAUCACUGUCUUCUGAGAGACUUCAGAUCUGGGUACUGACCUAUCCUAGAGCAUCUGGGAGUAGCCUUAUAUCAGUCAGUGAAGGAAGCUAGGGGGAGUUGAAUGCUGUCCAGAGGCUGUCUAUGAAGUAGCCACAGGAGAAUCUGUGUUUUUGUUUUUCUCCUGAACAGUCUCUUCUUGGAUCUUAGACAAGGCUUAAACGAGAUUUUUGAAAAAAAGCUGCAAGAAAAAUUUUGUGUAAUAGUAUGUAUGCAAUUAUUCUCUUCCAUAAGCAGAAACAUGCAGAGUGACACCAUUUGGUUAUUACCAACUAAUCUGUGGUCAAAUUUCUGAAGUAUUUUAUCAUUGCUCUUUGCACUUCUAUAGCAGAACGUAUUAACACAUUCAGUCUCCACCUUCAUGGACAAAGAUUUACCCAAGUCCACAUCCUGGUAGUGAGUUUUGCACCACUGUAAAACAAAUCACGUUUGUGAAAUUCAGAUUAUGGGAAACGUUCUGGAACAUUGCUAUAAGAGCUGCAGAGCCAAUGUGGGCUACAACUGGUCUAGACAAGAUCUGUGAACAAGUUGAAGCAGUUAAGUGCUUUUGAGACAUGAGUUUUUCUGUGGAUUUCAGUUGGGAAUUAUACGCCAAAUUAGGAGCCAACUGUUCUGGUACACUGAGCAGCGUUGAGCUUUUAGGUCUUAAUUUCAUUCCUUGAAUUUUGUAAAUGGGCAUUUUUUGACUCGCAUAGAAGGUAUUUAUUAGAACAAUUCCCCCUAGCCAGUACUACAGGGAUUGCUCUACCAGAUGCCUGAUACUGUCUAGUCUUCUGUUUCCAACAAGGACUGUAGAGCACCCCAUAGGGAGGGUUGCUUAGAAAGGGAUUUUCUCAGAAAUCUCUUUAUUUCUGGAAUUUUAUGCUCUGGAGUAUGAGAAAAAUUAUCUGUAAUGGCUUUUUAUUCUAUCAGUGUGAUCUAACUGCAAUCAUGACUGUUUCCAGUCAAGGUUUAAGCUUUCCUAGAUUUCAAAAUACUUUGAUCUCAGGUAUGAAAUAGUGUACCUUAGAUUGACAGAUAAAUUAUAUAUGUAUAUAUUUAAUUGGAUUAUUUGUUUUAAAUCUGGAGCUGUUUAAGAUUCAUCCCCUACUCUGAGUACUGGAAAUGAGAGGAGGUGGCAGAGUCCAGUUUGCCUACUCUGUGUCACCAGGCCUCUCUCUCAUGACCACUCCACACGCUUCCAGUCUGGGGAAAAAAUCUCAGCCCCAGUGCCAAAUCUGAGGAAUAUUCCCAUCAAAAUAAAAGAAAACAACUCAACUCUGUGUAAAGUUGUCCUCUAAUACACCGCAUUUUCCAACAGCAGAGGAAGCGGGAUCAGGGCAAAGUGAUGCUGGUGUGCAUGGUGUUGUCCCUUCCUAUCCAUUGGGACCUAACGUGUGCUGCAAGAGCACUGCAGGGGCCACCAUGUAAAAUAUGCAUAGGUUGCCCUAAAGUAUGCCAAGCAUCAGGCUGGCACCCUCAUGAGAUGCUACAGAAAUAGCUAUGGGUCGUCUCUGUCCCAUCCGGUAGCUGUGGUGGGUACAGCUCUGUGGCACUGGUGUGGCACUCGGAGAGACAGCUGGGCCGCAGACCUCCACAGGAUGACAGUGGUGGGAAGGUGGCCUGGGGAGAGCUGCCACACGCGGCCGAUUCAAGCCUCUCGCUAUGGGGUCAGAACAACUGGUGCCUGGCAGGAAACGGGUGGAAAGAUUGCAAAAGACACAGGUAUCGGCCGGUGAUCUGUGCUGGAAGGUGGCGAGCGAGUAACCUUGCUCCAUUUUGUGGUAGUGCUUCACCUGCAAGUGCCUGCUGUGAGUGAAAUUGUCUGAGCUGGUGCCGCACUUUAUCAAUUUCACUCUCAGCAGGCUCCGCAGGUGAAGUAUUUCAUUGCAGGAGUCAGACUCCGCUCUCCCCUUCGCAGUCUGAAAUAGAAAGAGGGGACAGGAAAGAAGGUAAUAAAUGGCCAGAGAAGAGCAAAAGCAGGGCAGAGAGCAGCAAGAAGCAGCGUGCGUGUUAAAUGGUACUGGUAAUUCAGUGCACCUAACCCUCUAAUUCUGGUGGAAUCCAACACUUAAAAGGGCUUUACUUAACUUUUUUAAACCUUACGCUUGGAAAUAAAAGAAGUAAGAGAACUUCACGGCUGGAAGUGAAAAAUUAUGGUGAGUUUUUAUAUUCCCAUGUUUAAAAUGCCGUGUAAGAUGAUGUGGGUAGAACUAUAAGAUAAUAUUCUCAGUCUUCACCCUAACAGUGGCAAAUAGGGGCUUUUUUUUCUGAGAGAAAUAUAGGCCAGGCUUUUUUUGUUGUUUUUUUUUUCUUUCCUGAGUUCUGCAUUUCAGAAAUGAUGUGCUGUGAUUUCGUUGUUGCCCUUUCUUAAGAAAACCUGCAUCUGAUUUUCAGCGUUGCUGGUGCCGCUUCCCUUAACUUCAGAGAGAAGUUCAGCAUUCAAGAUGAGAACCAAGCAAAACUGGUAACCACAUGGGAUUGUUUCACUACUAGGAUAAAGCUCAUGUGAUUCAGGGGUCAAUGGGAUGUCAACACAGCGUUAGAGCUCACAGGUCCAUCUGCUUCCAGGCAGUUACAUCCUAUGUUUUACAGGAAUAGAAGACAGCACAGAGCUAACGUGUUUAAGCUGGCUCUCAGUUCCUACAGGAGCUUCCUUCUUGAAAGUCCUUGCAAAGCUGUUAGCCCAUCACUUCAGCUGCAGUGAGCCAAUUCCCUGGGCUAGGUCCCAGCAUGCAGCAGUCUUACACUCUGUGGCUUGGGGAAUUGAUGCACCCUUUUGCUGUAGGAUACAUCUGACAGCAUUAGACUCUGUCCCAGUUACACGUUUGGGAAGGGACUGCACCAUUCUCUGAAGUUCCAGGGAGAAAGAGUGGCUUUUUGUCACAGCGAGUGCCCAGUGACAGGAGGCUGUACCUGCUGGCUUUAAGCUUGCUGCUGUCUAAUGUGGGAAAACUGGUUGAAGGGCUGUUGCUGGAGGAAGGCAGUCAGAGUGGAAGAGCUCAGCUCUUGUGCUUCAGGAGAGAAGGGAAUGAAUGCAAUGCAAUAAUGAACUUAAAACAGAAGACUUCAACCCACUCCAAGAAUUGCUAAAUGCAGUCUUGUGGAAAGGAAUUUUAAUGGGAAAAGGUGCCCUGGAGAACUGCUGGUUCCUAAAAGAGACACUGAAUAUCGGAUGAAAAGCUGCCAUGAUACAGGAGGCUCACAGCAAGUGUGGGGAGAGACAGCUAUGGCUGCAAAGGAAGAUCUUUAAUGACCCGACGAUGAAAAUGACGGUGCAAAAGGUGGCUUCAUUUCUGCAUGCAGGCAAUACAAGUAAAGCUUUUAGCAGUGUCCCAAGUGAAUCUCAUGGGCGUGCCAGGGAAAUGUGGUCUUCAUUAAACUACUGUAAAGUGGGAAAGAGAAGGCAAGGGAUUGGGUAAGUGUGUGGGAGCAGAAGAGGAAGAAUGAGAGGGAAGGCAGCACAAAUCAGAGUACCUUUUUUUUUUACUAUGGAAAUAGUUAUAUGGCCCAAGUUAAAAUGAACAAACAAACAGAGAAAAAAACCAAUAUAAUACUACACAUCUGGUGUUGUAGUGUCAUGCACACACCUUUGUCUUCACAGCAAUGCUAUGCGAUUGUAUAGUGGAACCUGAUUUGCAAGGCUGCUUAAUACAGACCUGACCUUAGCUAAUGAAAAGAUUAAGAUCCUUUGCAUUAAGCUUUUUGUUGAGCCCUCAUCUUCAGAUGAGGGAGAAACCCCAGAAAAACUAUUGCAACUGCUCCAAUGAUGACGUACACAUUUACAUUCUAAAGGGUGGGAUCUCUGAGUGCCAACAUUUGAAUGAUUAAAUAAAUCACGAGGUGCAUUUAAUGGGUGACCUGUAGGGGCUUCACAGCAAGUAGUUUUGUCUGCUCCCACCCUCAAACGGUUUUAAUAAUGUCUUUGACUCCAUUUGCAACCAGACCUCUUUCGUAGGUGCAGCCUUUGUCCUUUGCAAAGCAGUUUGUGAGGAGUGCUUCGAUGUCAGAAGGAGAGUGCCAGGAGCAGGUGGUCCUCCUAUUUGCUUUUCUAUGAGAUCUCCUUAGUACAGGGCUCAGCCUUAACUUCGCAUGCUUAUAAGAUUUUUGUCAUUAAACCCCAACUAGAAAUGAAACGGAGGCUACUCUAAAAGUGAAUCAAAAUAUCAGUCCAUGAGACUAGAAUGUGAAAAAGUGGCGUGCAACAUCACCGAGGAGAGUUAUCUUUGUUGUGUGUAACAGGUUGGUUAGAGGAAUUCUAGAAUCUGCAAAUGACACCCCAACUGCUGUAUUCCGUACCCCAGCAAAGCUGGUAAGGUUACAUGGAUUACAGAUAAACACCAAAUUGCUGCUUUGGUUUUUAUGAUCGGUGGGACAAAGAUGUGAAGAAAAGUCAGUAUAUGUAAUAUAUGAGAGACACAAAUGUUUGCAGUUUUCUUUUGGUGAACAGAUGCAGGUGCUCUGAAUGACCUUUUCUCUGGUAGCGGCAGUACAUUUCCUGGGAGGGUCACCUGGCAUACCCCACAUGAUCACCAUAUAAGAGCAGAAAAUAGAGGCUGUUGUGAAAAGAAUCUCACCUGAUGUGUCCGUUUGCUAACAAGGCAAAUCUCAUGAUACUUGCAAGAAAAAAAUCAUCAGUAAACAAUCCUAUGAGGUGGGUAGGUCUGUAAAGAUUGCUUUGGGCUGCUCAGGAAGAGACAUUUGUUUGCCACUUUUGGAUUGGAACAAGAAGGGAAUACAGGGCAGUGCCACCAUGACGAUGGAAGGUAGAACAAUCCCAAAGUUUCCAGGGGCUUUGCAAGACAAAAUAAGAGCAAUCUGUGGUAGCUUGGCCUGCUAAGAAUGGAGAAUCCAGAAGCAAUUACAACUGGGAACUGCCCUUUGAGCCCAGUGGUCUGGGCAAUUUUCAAACCACUUGACAGCAACGGACAUUCAGAUCAUCCAGCAGACAUGCAGUCCAGACUUCUUCACUUCCAAAUGUACGACCAUGGCAGACAAUGUCAUACAGCUGUCUGCUGCUCAUUCAGAGCUGCUUCUCAUUUUUGGGUUGCCUUCUGAUGCAUGAGACGAGAUGCAGAGACUGAUGCUGCUGCUGUCAUAAGAGUAUGUGGUUCACAGGCUUGAUCUUUUAAUAAUGUUUCACUUUUUUUUUUUUCACAGGAUAUUGCUGACAUUAUGACACAGCUCCAGGAACUACCAAGUCUUCUAAUGGCUCCAGUAGUUUCUGAGCCUGUAUCUCAUCAUACUAUACCUACCUUGAUCUGCUGGCAACAUGGAAAAGCUCUAUUCUGUUCUUUCUGUCUCGAUUCCCCAUACCCACCUUUGAUUUUUAGCAGCCUCAUAUAUGCAUCUUCCUUCAUUCCUCCUCUAUCCACAUAUUCUUCCCUGAAUGGUGCUCUCAUCACGCACCACUGCUGGGAAGCCAACUCUGGCCCUCUCUCUGUCACUGAUACGAAGCAUUGGACUGGAGUUUCCAGGGAAGAGCAGCUCCCAUGGGUGCAAAAAUGCCUACAGGAAGGCAUGGCCAUGGCCCACUGCCCUCUCUCCUGCUCUUUGCUCCCGCAUCGAGCCAAAUAACAAAGCAUUUGUUCUUGUCAAGCAGAUGGGGAGGAAUUGGCAAGGAGCCCGGAAUCCUUAUAAGUUAAUCUCUGUCUAUUCAGCUGUAAGUAAAGAGAAUUUUAUCUCAAAAGAACAUCACUCCUUUGGCUUUGCCACCACAUAUUUGCUCACUGUAUCUUUUUCUCUCAUACCAUUCACUCGGGGGAACAAAUAGAGAGUUAUAUUUCCAACUAUGGAGGAAAAUUAUCUGAGGGCAGAGGAGGAUGAAUGUGAGGCCAUUCACUAAAAGGCAGAUUACCUCUGAUGCAGCCCCAGCAUCGAUGUCCAUCAUCUCCCAGCCACCGUGUAGCUGUCCUGGUCCUGCAGCCACUGGCAAGCUGCUGCCUCACCAUGCUGCGGGGUGCCCCAUGGGUGCUGAGUGGAAACCUGGCUUCCUCUUGAUGCAGGCAGAGGACAACCAGGUGCCCUGCAUCCCUACAGCAGGCUUUGUGCCUGAGACUGCUUUGCAAGUGAGACUGAUUAUGGCAGAGCUUGUGCUAAGCGUGUUGCGAGGGACGGAUGAGCAACUGCGGAGGGCAGAGAACAAAAGUGGGGAGCUGUGGUCUUUGUUUUUCCCCUUCCUUAAAUUCUCUCUUCCCAGGGCUGAGCUCUGACCCAGGCUGGUACCGAGGUUUUAUUGGUGUGAGACUGGAGUCAGGCUCAGGCUGCUGCUUCAGGUAACACUCCACAAUUAGCUCAGAAAAGAGAUCUCUGGGGGACAGAGGGUUUCUCGCCAGGAGAAAGAGCUCUCUAUUAGUGUCAGCUCCAAAGCAAAUCUUAUCUGAGUUGAGAACAAAGAGGCUACAGGCUGGGUUACAAUUUUUAAUAUUCUAGAUAACUGACUUUUUACAUUUUAUUUUAUUCUUGGAAAGCAUCAGAGCGAAUGUGUGUGAAUCGUGACGAUCUAGCCUCAGUUUUGAAAGAAAAGAGGCAACAAGCUCGACCCAACAACUAUCCUGAGACCCCUGUGGAAAGUAAUAAUCUUGAACAAGCCAGUGCAAGCUAUGUUUUCAAUUUAUAAAUUAAAUGUAUUUAAAAUUUAUGAACUUUGACUGCACGAGUAACUACUUCAUUAGACUUUAAGGCUGCAUGUUUCCUUGGCUUUUUGCGUGGUAAAGUGAAACACAUUUCUAAUAAACAUGGAAGGAGAUUUCAAGAUAGAGUCACUACUUUUAUGUAAAGCACCCUCCAGACUCAUUAAAAAAGUUUACCACCUAAAUAAAGCAAGCACGCUGUAAUUCUUGAACCCAUAAAAUUGUUAAUAUAUACAUAAUAUUAGUCUACUCUUGCAUGUACGCUGCUUGAUAUCAAUGAACGACAUACAGUAAGGGUUUUACUGUAAGGAAAUUAGCAUAUAAAACUGUGUUUUGCUAAGUCUUACAUUGUAACGUGAACUCGAGAAACAAGAGAAUAUAAGUUGGGUGCUGCUCUGGUUUACUGAGUAGGUAUGGCUAAUGGCAUGAACGUCCUUAGGAGAGAGUGCUGCGGUGCUUUGACACCCAAGCUUCAGCUGUAACUGACACCGCCCUGUUUCUCCUAGUUUAUAUCAACCAGUUAGAACCCCUCUGAUGGCCAGCGGCGGUGGCGUGGUGGUGGGCACCAUGCAUUGGCCUACUAAGCAUGGCUGUGGCUCAAGGAGCUGGCACCAUGCACUUCCCCUCCCCUGGCACUGGUAUGUCCUCAGCUGCAGCACAGCACCCUGCUUUGGGAUCUUCACUUCAAGGGGGAUGUGGAAAACCUGGAAGGUUUCCACACUUGAGGUCUGUCACCACAGUCCAUGUCCCGGAGCACAGCUCCUGGAAGGAUCCAGCCCUGUUCUGUGUGGUGAAGAGGAGCCCAAAGGGUGGUCCGGCAGCAGUCUGGGGCUGCCUGAGGGGCAGAUCCAAAGAGAGCAGGGCCACACUCUUCUUGGUGGUGCCGGAGGAUGUAACAAGGGGCCACACAUGGCAGAUGGGGAGGUUCAGGCUGCACAUUAGGAAAUCCUUCUCCGCUGGGAGGGUUGUACGGCACAAGGACAGGUCCCACAGAGAGGUGGUGAAGGGUCCUUUCUUGGGGGCUUCACAGCUUGGCUAGAUAAAGCCCCAGCUGACCUACUGUUGUAAUAUAGGUGGUACUCCUACUUCAAGUGUCCUUUGGACCAGGUGAUCUCCAGCAGUCCCAUCCCAGCAGCAUUUCUGUGACUAUGUAGUCCUUUUCUACAGAGCAAGGGAGAAGCAGGUCCUAAACCACAUCAGUCUCUCUCAUCAGAGAGAGAGAAAGCAGCUCAGCCAAACCCCUGCCCCUCAGGGCUAGUCCUAGCCCAGCACCUACUCAGUUGUCUGUUAGAUUAUGUUGGGGUUCAGAAACAAGUCGC